CUCUUUUCUCAGGGAAGGCCCUGGUGUUCGUCGUCGAUGACCAGCCCUUCUGUGUGCUGCUGCUGCUGUCAUCGUUCUAUUCUCUGUGUCCUUUGGUACAAGAGAAUGCCAACAUUAGCUGCAGGGGGUCCAGGCCUGGGCAGAUGGGCAGACGGUUGGUUUCCUGCCCCGCAGCGAGGGCCCGUCCAGGUGGCACCCACAGCAGGGACAGUGCAGAGCUCCUGAGCCUACAAGUAUUCGCGACGAGUCUUCUCACAUUGCUGGUUCAAACUCCUGGACUCAAGCAUCCUCCCACCUCAGCCUCUCAGAACGCUGGGAUUACAGGCACAAGCCACCACAUGCACUCAUUCCUCACGAUUUCUGAUGACAAACUGGAGAGGUCCCAGAGCAUAUAGACCUUGAUUGAAUCAGGGGCAGAAUGAAGUCAGGAGAAACCUGGUUUUGGAGCCACGUAAGUGUAAAGUAAGGUCUCAACUCGGAGCCCCAUCAGAGCAUCAGACUCAGUACUAAUUCCUUCCAGCCGCUACUGUGUUUGUCCUGCGAUAACUGGUGUUUGCAGGAAGGAGAAGUAGUUACGUGUGCAGAAAAGUGCAUGAAAUUAGAAAACGUGGACAUGAUUCAGGGAGUGAGAGGGACCCUUGUCUCUUCCAAGGUAGCGGUGGGGCUCUCUGUCCCUUGUCCUGAUCCAUCAAGUGCAGAAGAGAAACUUCCUGCUCUGAGUGAAGUGACCAACAGCGGAAGUUGGAAUGAAGAGAAUCAGGGGCAGCCUCUCUCCCCCCCCAGCCCAGCAAACCUAAGGCAAGGGCUUGGGCUCUGACACUUGGUUCUCAACAUGUGUUUUCCUUCUCUGGUUAAGAAAAGAACCACAUAUAAGAGGAACCAAGGGCUGCAGCUAUUGUGGUACCCAGAGAACUGGGCCAGGGACCAAUGGUGCCAUGUGCUUGUCACUGCUCCACCACUAAGUUGCUGUGACCUCAAGACUCUCUGCCCCUGGAGCCUUUUUGUUGUUGUUGAGUCAGAGUCUCACUCUGUUGCCUGAGCUAGAGUGCCCUGGCGUCAGCCUAGCUCACAGCAACCUCAGAAGAUGGUGGAGCCCGCUAGGAGCAGAGCAGGGAGACCG
rnacentral:lncRNA from 1 species